ACUAUUUUGGCAGAUUAGUGCGUUAAAUUUAGAAUUUAUUUAUGUAAUUAGAGAUUACAGAUAGUA
rnacentral:tRNA from 1 species